UACGUAGGGGGCAAGCGUUGUCCGGAUUCAUUGGGCGUAAAGAGCGUGUAGGCGGCCAGGUAGGUCGGUUGUGAAAACUGGAGGCUCAACCUUCAGAGGUCGACCGAAACCAUCUGGCUAGAGUCCGGGAGAGGAGAGUGGAAUUCCCGGUGUAGCGGUGAAGUGCGCAGAUAUCGGGAGGAACACCUAUGGCGAAGGCAGCUCGCUGGGACGGUACUGACGCUGAGACGCGAAAGCGCGGGGAGCAAACAGG
rnacentral:rRNA from 1 species